AGUGAACGCUGGCGGUAGGCCUAACACAUGCAAGUCGAACGGCAGCACAGUAAGAGCUUGCUCUUACGGGUGGCGAGUGGCGGACGGGUGAGGAAUACAUCGGAAUCUACUUUUUCGUGGGGGAUAACGUAGGGAAUCUUACGCUAAUACCGCAUACGACCUACGGGUGAAAGCAGGGGAUCUUCGGACCUUGCGCGAUUGAAUGAGCCGAUGUCGGAUUAGCUAGUUGGCGGGGUAAAGGCCCACCAAGGCGACGAUCCGUAGCUGGUCUGAGAGGAUGAUCAGCCACACUGGAACUGAGACACGGUCCAGACUCCUACGGGAGGCAGCAGUGGGGAAUAUUGGACAAUGGGCGCAAGCCUGAUCCAGCCAUACCGCGUGGGCGAAGAAGGCCUUCGGGUUGUAAAGCCCUUUUGUUGGGAAAGAAAAGCAGCAGGUUAAUACCCCGCUGUUCUGACGGUACCCAAAGAAUAAGCACCGGCUAACUUCGUG
rnacentral:rRNA from 1 species